CGAACGGCAGCACGGGAGCAAUCCUGGUGGCGAGUGGCGAACGGGUGAGUAAUACAUCGGAACGUGCCCAGUAGUGGGGGAUAGCCCGGCGAAAGCCGGAUUAAUACCGCAUACGACCUACGGGUGAAAGUGGGGGAUCGCAAGACCUCACGCUAUUGGAGCGGCCGAUGUCAGAUUAGGUUGUUGGUGGGGUAAAGGCCUACCAAGCCGACGAUCUGUAGCUGGUCUGAGAGGACGACCAGCCACACUGGGACUGAGACACGGCCCAGACUCCUACGGGAGGCAGCAGUGGGGAAUUUUGGACAAUGGGCGCAAGCCUGAUCCAGCCAUGCCGCGUGCGGGAAGAAGGCCUUCGGGUUGUAAACCGCUUUUGUCAGGGAAGAAACGGUCUGCGUUAAUACCACGGACUAAUGACGGUACCUGAAGAAUAAGCACCGGCUAACUACGUGCCAGCAGCCGCGGUAAUACGUAGGGUGCAAGCGUUAAUCGGAAUUACUGGGCGUAAAGCGUGCGCAGGCGGCUUUGCAAGACAGAUGUGAAAUCCCCGGGCUCAACCUGGGAACUGCAUUUGUGACUGCAAGGCUGGAGUACGGUAGAGGGGGAUGGAAUUCCGCGUGUAGCAGUGAAAUGCGUAGAUAUGCGGAGGAACACCGAUGGCGAAGGCAAUCCCCUGGACCUGUACUGACGCUCAUGCACGAAA
rnacentral:rRNA from 1 species